rnacentral:misc_RNA from 1 species
ACACAGCUUAGCUAGGUAGCCGAGCAGACUCUAUCCUAAAAGUAAAUACAUUUUGGUCAUUUUACGGUGAUGAUAUCCAUUUGCAACAAGUUAUUUAGUUUCCUGGAAGUUCUUCUUUGUUAAAAAUGGAGAGGGGACAGAUUAGGGAGCUCGUGACACUGUCCUCCACACCAUCUGAGAGUGUGUGUGUAUGUCUGUAUAGGUAGAUGUGCGAUUUUCCAUGAAAAGUCACUUCAGGAAGUCACUGAAAAACAUAAUCAGUAACCAAUAAGUGGUGACCUCGGUAUCCAAGAAAGAUAUGUGACUCUUAUCGCCUUCCUGCAACCAGUUGUUCGAAAUGACAGAGAUAAUAGUUUCUCCUUAAAAGCCUCAGUGUGUGAGAUCAGGUACUGCGUUGGCGCUGUCUCGAGAGAACCAGAGAGCAGGACGGACGACUUCAGUAAGAACCGGAGAUGUGACGGUUCUCCGACUGCGGAAGAGAUCCUCACCACACAGAAGUGAUACAAGAGGAAGGAGGUUGUGCUGGCGGCGCUGUGUAGAAAAAGGUCGCAUUCCUUUUGCUCAUUGACGAACAGGAGACAAAACAAGCAGAAGAUUGGCACGAAAUUUCUCUCUUGAGUUGGGAAGAAACAGGAGAAAAUCUGUCCCUUUCAAUCCUCAUUGAGGGGAAAGGGCAGAGUAGGACAUCGCAGAUAAGUGCUGAGUGAUGGCCGGCUUCGUCGUGAGGAGUGGGAGUGAGGAAGCCUCUCGGGGUUCCUUUCUGCCGAGGUUCUUGGGCUUCCUGUUGCUGUUCCUGGUCCUCGCUCACAGUGCUACUGCUGGCGUCUUCGGCAGGGGGACAAAAGGCAACGCACAAGAGCCAUAUCUCUUCGGAAGGACCAGCGACGUGACGCAAGAUCGAGGAGUUGUCCUCACUUCUGAUAACAAGAACAAGUUCAAGCAUCACAACGACCCCGCUUACAACAAACACGACAACAACAAAUACGGCAGCAAAAUCCACACCUACAACGACCUCAAGUCCCUCUUCGACGACGAGAACCGGAACACCAUCAAAUUCUAUUCUCAGACACAAUAUUCCAACAUCCGCAUCCCAAUUGGCUUCCUCUUGUUCCUAUUCGUAUCGGCUCUCUACGGAUGCUUGUGGAUGUGCAGCAGGAUAACCACAGUGGUGAAUGAGAGGAGCAAAGUGGUCUUCAGGCACCGAAGGACUCGUGGCGCUGAGGAUGCUCCGGAGGCUCAGGACCGCCAGGCAGACGCCGUACACGUGUGUCCGGAAGCCACUCCCUUGCGUGGGAACUAGAGAGCUGUCCACACCAGGCUUUGUUAUAGUCUGUUACAGGAUUAUUUGAGUGUUGCUUUUAUCGUUCAAGGUGGAUGCUUCUGCAUCAGUCAGUCUGUCUAUGUCUCUCUCUCUCUCUCUCUCUGUGAGUAUGUUUGUAUAUAUUUAUUUGAGUGUGUAUGCGUGUAUGGAUCUUUUUCUCUCUCUCGCUCUCUCGCUCUUGCACUCUCUCUCUCUCUCUCUCUCUCUCUCUCUCUCUCUCUAUCUCUCUCUCUUUCUCUACCAUCAAUAUUUCCCUUCAUUUUCCUUUUACAAACACGGAAAAUAAUCCCCUUUAUCUUUUCAGUCAAGUAGGUCGCUGAUUUGCCCAGUCAUUUGAUCGUCUAUCUGAUAGCAGCUGGUCUGUGACUCAUGUUCCCGAUAAACAUGAGCAUCAACUCAACCCUAGUGCAGUCUCCAGUGCCCACCUCAACUCUACUUCCGGUUCUAACUCCAGCCCCAGCACCGCCCUCGUUGCAACAAGAUAAACAAGAGUCUAACCGCGAAAUAAAGGAACUGCUGCACACACUGCUUAAG